GACGAACGCUGGCGGCGUGCUUAACACAUGCAAGUCGAACGGAAAGGCCCUGCUCUUGUGGGGUGCUCGUGUGGCGAACGGGUGAGUAAAAUGUGAGUAACCUGUCCUUGACUCUCGGAUAACUUCAGGAAACUCGGGCUAAUACCGGAUAGGAGCUCCUUCUGCAUGGUGGGGGGUGGAAAGUUUCGGCGGUUGGGGAUGGAUUCGCGGCUUAUCAGCUUGUUGGUGGGGUAGUGGCUUACCAAGGCUUUGACGGGUAGCCGGCCUGAGAGGGUGACCGGCCACAUUGGGACUGAGAUACGGCCCAGACUCCUACGGGAGGCAGCAGUGGGGAAUAUUGCACAAUGGGCGGAAGCCUGAUGCAGCGACGCCGCGUGAGGGAUGACGGCCUUCGGGUUGUAAACCGCUUUCGCCUGUGACGAAGCGUGAGUGACGGUAAUGGGUGAAGAAGCACCGGCUAACUACGUG
rnacentral:rRNA from 1 species